rnacentral:lncRNA from 1 species
AUGAAGACGUGAUCUAUCGUGCAUGCAGCCAUUUAAGACAUAGGCAAUGUCCAAAAGAGGUGCCACUAUGGAAAUGUGUAUCAGUCAAGGUUAUUUGGAUACACGCAACAGAAACUGACUCUGGGGGUGGGUCAGAACACAAAGGUGAGUGAACAGACAGCAGAGCCACAGCCUCACAGACCAGAGAUGCAAGUCCCCAGCGGGGAGGAGGAGUUGCUGCCAGAUGGAAGACUAUUAGUUUUGCACAGAUAGUGACCAAGGCCCAGAUGCUAAAGUGUGAAUGUCCCAGAGCAGGCUGGCAAAUGGCAAGAGCAGAAGAGGCCUAGCAAAAACUGAGCAAAAAGAAAACAGGAGAAAUCCAGAACAUUUCAUCAUGGAGAC